rnacentral:lncRNA from 1 species
ACGAAGCGUACCCACCGGUGUUUGGUGGAACUCCGGCUGGAGGGUAGUCCUAGACCGGUGAAACACGGCCUGGAGGGUCUGGUGAGCGCGCGCUCAAGCUGCGGUAAGUGACGUUCCCAUUGCUGACCUGGGGAGAAACGGGGCGACUCCGCGGAGGCUCGGCGACCCCCGAAAGGGUGUGGUCGGUGCCCAGGACCCUGUGGAGCCCCCUGGGGUGGCCUGGUGGGACACGGGGGACAAGGGGCCAGUUUAUAACGGGAGUCCAGCGUCCAGGCAUGUUCUCCCCUCCCCCAUAGGAUUUCUGGUGGGAUUCUUUGCCUGCUUUUUCCUUUGAAUCCUCUUACAACUUUCAAUCCCUUCUUUCCUCCCGUUGUUUCCAUUAUGACCCUUCGCAGGCUUCUACAAACCAUUUCGUUGUGUCUAGACUUUUGCCAUGAGGAACUUCAAAGGAGUCAAGUUCGCCACUCUACUUUGCUGCAAGAGAGAGACCCAGGAGUUGCUGCCUGACUUGAAGGAGUUCCUGUCUAGAUCUCGAACUGAUUCAGUCAGCAGCAGAACCGAUGCUGAGAGAAGACAGGUCUGUGACACCAUCCUGAGGGCUUGCACCCAGCAGCUGACUGCCAAGCUUGACGGCCCUGG